rnacentral:tRNA from 53 species
GGGACCAUAGCUCAGUUGGUAGAGCAGCGGACUUUUAAUCCGUUUGUCGUGGGUUCGACCCCCGCUGGUCCCACCA